GCUACGCUGGUAUAAUGGUAGCAUAACUCGUUGUGGCCGAGUUGAUCCUGGUUCGAUUCCAGGGCGUAGCA